UACGGAGGGGGCUAGCGUUGUUCGGAAUUACUGGGCGUAAAGCGCACGUAGGCGGCUUUGUAAGUUAGAGGUGAAGGCCCGGGGCUCAACUCCGGAAUUGCCUUUAAGACUGCAUCGCUUGAAUCCGGGAGAGGUGAGUGGAAUUCCGAGUGUAGAGGUGAAAUUCGUAGAUAUUCGGAAGAACACCAGUGGCGAAGGCGGCUCACUGGACCGGUAUUGACGCUGAGGUGCGAAAGCGUGGGGAGCAAACAGG
rnacentral:rRNA from 1 species